rnacentral:rRNA from 1 species
AACGAACGCUGGCGGCAGGCUUAACACAUGCAAGUCGAGCGCUGUAGCAAUACAGAGCGGCAGACGGGUGAGUAACGCGUGGGAAUCUACCCAUCUCUACGGAAUAACGCAUGGAAACGUGUGCUAAUACCGUAUACGUCCUUCGGGAGAAAGAUUUAUCGGGGAUGGAUGAGCCCGCGUUGGAUUAGCUAGUUGGUGGGGUAAAGGCCUACCAAGGCGACGAUCCAUAGCUGGUCUGAGAGGAUGAUCAGCCACAUUGGGACUGAGACACGGCCCAAACUCCUACGGGAGGCAGCAGUGGGGAAUAUUGGACAAUGGGCGCAAGCCUGAUCCAGCCAUGCCGCGUGAGUGAUGAAGGCCCUAGGGUUGUAAAGCUCUUUCACCGGUGAAGAUAAUGACGGUAACCGGAGAAGAAGCCCCGGCUAACUUCGUGCCAGCCGCCGCCGUAACAC